CUUCCAUCUCUCUUCACAUUCUUUGAUUUUUUUUCUUUUUGGGAAUUAGUUUUGUUUAAAACAACAAAAUAUUGAUGCCCAAUCUUUUGUUCUUGAUGUUUGAGAUUCAUGUCUCCAAUUCUCAGUGAAAUCUUCCUUUCUGGGUUUAUGAUCAAUUCCACAUUCAUCCGCAGGACCCAUCUCGUUCAAUCUUUCUCAGUUGUUUUCCUCUACUGGUUGUACUACGUUUCAUGAUU